CCUAGUAUGAAUCUCUCAUACUAUGAUGCGGUAGCUGAAGGCCACAUUUGAUUGCCUCAUGAAGACUUAUGGGUUCCUGGCACCAGACUGCAAAGAGUACAUGAAUAUACUGCAAAGAGUUAAAGAAGAGAGGGAACUAAAAUAAA